rnacentral:rRNA from 1 species
GCUACAGGCUUAACACAUGCAAGUCGAGGGGAAACGAUAUUGGAAGCUUGCUUCUGAUAGGCGUCGACCGGCGCACGGGUGAGUAACGCGUAUCCAACCUCGCCCACCACUUGGGGAUAACCUUGCGAAAGUAAGACUAAUACCCAAUGACGUCUCUAGAAGACAUCUGAAAGAGAUUAAAGAUUUAUCGGUGAUGGGAUGGGGGAUGCGUCUGAUUAGCUUGUGGCGGGGUAACGGCCCACCAAGGCGACGAUCAGUAGGGGUUCUGAGAGGAAGGUCCCCCACAUUGGAACUGAGACACGGUCCAAACUCCUACGGGAGGCAGCAGUGAGGAAUAUUGGUCAAUGGACGAGAGUCUGAACCAGCCAAGUAGCGUGCAGGAUGACGGCCCUAUGGGUUGUAAACUGCUUUUAUAAGGGAAUAAAGUGAGUCUCGUGAGACUUUUUGCAUGUACCUUAUGAAUAAGGACCGGCUAAUUCCGUG